CUUGCCGUGAAACAAAGUGGUAAUCUCUACCAGCUACUUCGUGGUCUCGCCUACUCCGAGUUGUAUCUAGGCAAACAAAAUCAGGCUUGCCACCAAUUUGGAUCUUCUUGACUGAUGACAUGAAGUAUAUCGCCUUUUUGAAAAGAUAGACCUAACUCUCGACACGGAACAUAAGGGUCAUCUGAGGGGUCAUAGUCAAAAUGAGCUUUCACAUGGAUCUAAAAGAUAAAAAGGGCUUUGAAAUUUAACUAGUUGUACGAUUAUAAUUUUUGCUAACAAUUUUUCUGCAUAUCAAAAAAAUGUGUUACACUUGCAGCAUUAAAGGUAGGUAAGAAUUCACAUGAAUCUUACUGAGAGCUAAGUUAUUCCUAUACUAUUUCCUCCAAUAUACCUCUGUAAGAUGUAACAAAGUUGUCUUAAUUUUAAUAAAGUAAAAAGAAUUAAUAUUAA